rnacentral:rRNA from 1 species
AACGUAGGAGACAAACGUUAUCCGGAGUUACUGGGCGUAAAGGGCGUGUAGGUGGUUCUGUAAGUCUGGCGUGAAAUUUCUCGGCUUACCGAGGCAGGUCGUCGGAUACUGCAGGGCUAGAGGACGGUAGAGGCGUGUGGAAUUCCCGGGUGUAGUGGUGAAAUGCGUAGAGAUCCGGAGGAACACCAGUGGCGAAAGCGGCUCUCUGGUCCAAAACUGACGCUGAGGGGCGAAAGCG